UGGGGAAUAUUGGACAAUGGGCGGAAGCCUGAUCCAGCAACGCCGCGUGAGGGAUGACGGCCUUCGGGUUGUAAACCUCUUUCAGUACCGACGAAGCGAAAGUGACGGUAGGUACAGAAGAAGGACCGGCCAACUACGUGCCAGCAGCCGCGGUAAUACGUAGGGUCCGAGCGUUGUCCGGAAUUAUUGGGCGUAAAGGGCUCGUAGGCGGUUUGUCGCGUCGGGAGUGAAAACAGCGGGCUUAACUCGUUGCUUGCUUUCGAUACGGGCAGACUAGAGGUAUGCAGGGGGAGAAUGGAAUUCCUGGUGUAGCGGUGAAAUGCNCAGAUAUCAGGAGGAACACCGGUGGCGAAGGCGGUUCUCUGGGCAUUACCUGACGCUGAGGAGCGAAAAGUGUGGGGAGCGAACAGGAUUAGUAACCCUGGGUAGCCAC
rnacentral:rRNA from 1 species